rnacentral:rRNA from 1 species
UGCAGUAGGGAAUAUUAGUAAUGGGCGAAAGCCUGAACUAGCAACACCGCGUGUGCGAAGAAGGCCUUCGGGUUGUAAAGCACUUUUUGAGAGGAUGAGGAAGGACGGUACUCUCAGAAUGAGUCUCGGCUAACUACGUGCCAGCAGCCGCGGUAACACGUAGGAGGCAAACGUUAUCCGGAUUUACUGGGCGUAAAGCGCGUGUAGGUGGUUUGGUAAGUAGAGCGUGAAAGCUCCUGGCUCAACUGGGAGAGGUCGUUUUAAACUGCCGGACUAGAGGAUGGUAGAGGGAGGUGGAAUUCCGGGUGUAGCGGUGGAAUGCGCAGAUAUCCGGAGGAACACCAGUGGCGAAAGCGGCCUCCUGGACCACUCCUGACACUCAGACGCGAAAGCUAGGGUAGCAAACG